rnacentral:rRNA from 1 species
CCUCUUUUCGAAAGAAAAAUCAUGGCACAGGUAUAGGCGAAGGCAUCCCCUUAUGUGAUAACNGACGUUGAGGGNNGAAGGCUUUGUGUNACAAACAGGNUUAGAUNCCCUCGUNGUUGAAGCAGAAAAUGAUGAAUGUCANAGAUNAGAUAUAUAAGUUUWUUCUAUAAAUGNAAGUGUAAGCAUUCCACCUCNNGNGUNAUUUGGCANCAUUGGAAUUGAAAUCAUUAGACCGUUUCUGAAACCAGUNGNGAAGUAUGUUGUUUAAUUUGAUGAUCCGCAAAAAACCUUACCCCAAUUUGAAAAUUUAUAUUUUUUUUAUNGUUUUCUUCUUAAUUUUCUUCUAAUAACAUAUUCACCAUGUCAAAAGAAGAAAGUUAAUAAAGAGGCAAUAAUAUAUAUUUACAANCGUUGCACGGCGGUCUUCAGUUAAUGUCGCGAGACUUUGGUUAGUUCCAUUAAAUUAANG